GUGCUCCUUUCAGCAGCACAUAUAUACUAAAAUUGAAACUAUACAGAGAAGAUUAGCAUGACCCCUGUGAAAGGAUGACACACAAAUUUGUGAAGUGCUCCAUAUUAAA